GGGCCCGCACAAGCGGUGGAGUAUGUGGUUUAAUUCGAUGCAACGCGAAGAACCUUACCAGGGUUUGACAUCCUGCGAAUCUCUUGGAAACGAGAGAGUGCCUUCGGGAACGCAGUGACAGGUGGUGCAUGGCUGUCGUCAGCUCGUGUCGUGAGAUGUUGGGUUAAGUCCCGCAACGAGCGCAACCCACGUCUUUAGUUGCCAGCAUGUAAUGAUGGGAACUCUAACGGGACUGCCGGUGCAAACCGCGAGGAAGGCGGGGACGACGUCAAGUCAUCACGGCCCUUACGUCCUGGGCCACACACGUGCUACAAUGGUUGGUACAGAGGGCAGCUACCGGGUGACCGGAUGCG
rnacentral:rRNA from 1 species